rnacentral:rRNA from 1 species
UACAGAGGGGGCAAGCGUUGUUCGGAAUUACUGGGCGUAAAGGGCGCGUAGGCGGCCUGUUAAGUCGAACGUGAAAUCCCCGGGCUCAACCCGGGAACUGCGUCCGAUACUGGCAGGCUUGAAUCCGGGAGAGGGAUGCGGAAUUCCAGGUGUAGCGGUGAAAUGCGUAGAUAUCUGGAGGAACACCGGUGGCGAAGGCGGCUCACUGGCCCGGUACUGACGCUGAGGUGCGAAAGCGUGGGGAGCAAACAGG